UACGUAGGGUGCGAGCGUUGUCCGGAAUUAUUGGGCGUAAAGGGCUCGUAGGCGGUCUGUCACGUCUGCUGUGAAAACUCGGGGCUUAACCCCGGGCCUGCAGUGGGUACGGGCAGACUAGAGUGCGGUAGGGGAGACUGGAAUUCCUGGUGUAGCGGUGAAAUGCGCAGAUAUCAGGAGGAACACCGGUGGCGAAGGCGGGUCUCUGGACAGCAACUGACGCUGAGGCACGAAGGCCAGGGGAGCAAACGGG
rnacentral:rRNA from 1 species